UAUGUUACUCUAUGCUGAGCUCGCGGCGAUCAUUGAGGUCGCGGCCCCGUGCGGAGACCUUCCAUUGCACACCGGCUAGUUGAAGCGCGCCACUUCCACGAAUGGGGGUGGGUGGGGCAUAUAAUUUUUGGUAGUGGGGCUCAGCGUUCGCGCAAGCCCCAA